rnacentral:rRNA from 1 species
GACGAACGCUGGCGGCGUGCUUAACACAUGCAAGUCGAACGGAAAGGCCCUGCUUUUGUGGGGUGCUCGAGUGGCGAACGGGGGAGUAACACGCGAGUAACCUGCCCUUGACUUUGGGAUAACUUCAGGAAACUGGGGCGAAUAUCGGGUAGGAUCUCCUGCUGCAUGGGGUGGGUUGGAAAAUGUCGGCGGUGGGGGAUGGACUCGCGGCUUAUCAGCUUGUUGGUGGGGUAGUGGCUUACCAAGGCUUUGACGGGUAGCCGGCCUGAGAGGGUGACCAGCCACAUUGGGACUGAGAUACGGACCAGAAUCCUACCGGAGGCAGCAGUGGAGAAUAUUGCACAAUGGGGGGAAGCCUGAUGCAGCAACGCCGCGUGCGGGAUGACGGCCUUCGGGUUGUAAACCGAUUUCGCCUGUGACGAAGCGUGCGUGACGGUAAUGGGUAAAGAAGCAACGGCUAACUACGUG